rnacentral:rRNA from 1 species
UGGGGAAGUCUUGCGCAAUGGGCGAAAGCCUGACGCAGCAACGCCGCGUGCGGGAUGACGGCCUUCGGGUUGUAAACCGCUUUCAGCAGGGACGCGGUACCUGCAGAAGAAGCCCCGGCUAACUACGUGCCAGCAGCCGCGGUAAUACGUAGGGGGCAAGCGUUGUCCGGAAUCAUUGGGCGUAAAGAGCUCGUAGGCGGUUCAGUAAGUCGGGUGUGAAAGCUCCGAGCUCAACUCGGAGAGGCCACUCGAUACUGUCGGACUAGAAUCCAGUAGGGGAGUGUGGAAUUCCUGGUGUAGCGGUGAAAUGCGCAGAUAUCAGGAGGAACACCGGCGGCAAAGGCGGCACUCUGGGCUGGUAUUGACGCUGAGGAGCGAAAGUGUGGGUAGCAAAACA